UCCCUGAUGGUCUAGUGGUUAGGACUCAGCAAUCUCACUGCUGCAGCCUGGGUUUGAUCCCUGGAUGAGGAA
rnacentral:tRNA from 1 species